UAAAGCGUACACCUGUGAUCAGUGUGGCAGAGCUUUUACUCAAGGUAACAACUUACAGAGUCAUCUAGUUACCCACUCUGGAAUUAAGGCGUACAGCUGUGACAUUUGUGGAAAAACUUUCAGCCGGAUAGACAGCCGUAACAUUCACCUACGCAUUCACACCAGACAUGAUGUGUACAGCUGUGAUCAGUGUGGUAAACAGUUUACUACAAACACAGAGUUACGACGUCACAUGUUUACCCACACUGAGGAACGACCUUAUAAAUGUGACCUUUGUGAGAAGACUUUUAAAUCUCCACAUUACCUGAAAGCACACCAACAGAUCCACACCAGAAAGACUCUACAAGUGCAGUUACUGUGAGAAGCAGAGCGACACAGAUGGAUCAAGUUCUCAACCCUGUCAUCGCUGUGGGAAAGACUUUUGUUGUGACCUUUGUGGAAAAACUUUUAGUCAUUGAAGGACUCUGAAAAUACAUCAACGUAGACACACUGGAGACAAAAUGAACUACUGUAAAGAAUGCGGGAGAGGCUUCACCACUUCAAAGGACUUCAAACAAUAUGAACUCCUUCACAGUGGCGUCAAAAAGCAUGUCUGCGAUCAGUGUGGGUCAUCCUUCAUCAGUGCACGUCAGCUUGAAAAGCAUAAACGAGUCCACACAUGAGAGAAACUAUACAAGUGCAGACUCUGUGACAAAACCUUUUCACAAUCAUGUGAUCAUACUAAGCAUGAACGCAGACACAUGAAAGAGAACUUCAUCACGGCGCCCCUCCGUGUGCGGCAGCCUGUUACAGCAGCUCUGCUCGUUCUGAGUUUCUUUCUUUCUUAUCUUUUUUUCUUGUAAUUUUUUAUAACGAACGUAUUAGUAAUUAGAUAACAAAUUUCCCACGUGUGGGACUAAUAAAGGUUAUCUUAUCUUAUCUGUGAAAGAGUUUGAGUAAUCUCAGUUCAUACUCCACUCAGAAACGAUUCCAUGUUACAAAUAAACUGUUACGUCUUGAUUCCUGCUUUUACGUUAAUCUUAUAAACAGUACAUUUGUAUAACGACUGAAACCGGCCCAAUGAAUGAACAAUGGGCUGUGAGGCAAUUUCUUCAUCAUUAAUAUGCAAAUUCUUAUGAGCAUUGAUCAACAACCACUGGUCAAUGGCCAUGAGUACCAUUCACAGAGUAAAACUUUGCAUAAUGAUUAUGAAGUUUACUGUUACCAAUGUUCAAAAACAUUUACUAAAUUAUCUUCUCUGUGCAAACAUCAGCGUGAUGCAGGACUGAAAUCAUUGCCAUCUCUGGAUCACAGUGAAUCUGCAGAGACAGAAAGAUCCUCUUCUGGUUUCAGGGUCAGACUUAAACCCUUGAGAUCAGGCUCCACAGAGUUCAGGUGGAGUCUUCUGUAAAGAUCUGAUGAGGCAGCU